AGAGUUUGAUUAUGGCUCAGGAUGAACGCUGGCGGCGCGCCUAACACAUGCAAGUCGAACGGCACCCCCCUUCGGGGGGAAGCGAGUGGCGAACGGCUGAGUAACACGUGGAGAACCCGCCCCCUCCUCCGGGAUAGCCUCGGGAAACCGUGGGUAAUACCGGAUGACCCCGGCAGGCCGCAUGGCCGGCCGGGCAAAGCCCAGACGGGAGGGGAUGGCUCCGCGGCCCAUCAGGUAGACGGCGGGGUGACGGCCCACCGUGCCGACGACGGGUAGCCGGGUUGAGAGACCGACCGGCCAGAUUGGGACUGAGACACGGCCCAG
rnacentral:rRNA from 1 species